rnacentral:rRNA from 1 species
GACGAACGCUGGCGGCAUGCCUAAUACAUGCCAGUUGAACGAUGAUAUUCUCUGCUUGCAGAGAAUUGAAGAGUAGCGAACGGGUGAGUAACACGUGGGGAACCUGCCCAUGAGAGGGGGAUAACAUUCGGAAACGGAUGCUAAUACCGCAUAAUGCUUUGGACCGCCUGGUCCAGAGACGAAAGACGGCUUUUGCUGUCACUCAUGGAUGGCCCCGCGCCGUAUUAGCUAGUUGGUGAGGUAAUGGCUCACCAAAGCUGUGAUACGUAGCCGACCUGAGAGGGUGAUCGGCCAGAUUGUGACUGAGAAACGGCACAGACUCCUACGGGAGGCAGCAGUAGGGAAUCUUCCACGAGGGGCGAAAGCCGGAUGGAGCAAUGCCGCGUGAAUGAAGAAGGUCUUCGGAUCGUAAAGUUCUGUUAUUAGAGAAGAACAAGUCAAGGAGUAACUGUCUUGACUUUGACGGUACCUAACCAGAAAGUCACGGCUAACUACGUG